rnacentral:lncRNA from 1 species
AAUUCUUGCAACCAAAAGAAAUUCAACGAGAAUUGUUAGCAACGUAAAAUUUUGCGGUUCUAAAGGAGUACGGUGUAAUCUUUUCCAAGAAUAUCAUACAGAUUUUUCCCUACUCCAGGUAUGUUAAGGCUAUUCCUUCUUUCUUUUUGGCAUGAUCCAAAUAAUAUGGAAGAAACGAGCAAACACACAGUUUUUAUAAACGACUCUAUUUAUAGAAAUACUAGGGGUCUCUAUGUUCUUGAUUCCCCAUGUGACAUAUUAUUCUAUCAUCUGUUCAUGAGUCUCAAAAAUACGUAAGUUGGUAAAGUUUAUUUCAUGAUAUCAAUUAGAGGCAUAAUGGUCUUAUGAUGUACCGAGAGAUUUUAUUAACGUAUUUCAUAUGCAUUUCAUGCAUUUAUACAUGCACAUUGAUCCAUGACAAGAUAAUGUUAUAUACACGUAUAUAUAUAUAUAUAUAUAUAUAUAUAUAUAUGUAUAUAUAUGUAUAUAUAUGUAUAUAUAUGUAUAUGAGAUAUGGAAAAGCUUAUGGAAUUAUAUACGCACCACCAACUAAUCAGCUGGUAUACGUUGAUGAUUUUGCCCACAAUGGUCGAGAUGAUAUGAUGGGAUGCCCUCAGAGGUCUGAUGAUGUUAUGAAAUAUGUACCUAUACACGACAUGACAUUCAUACGCAUAUGCAUGACACUAUAGUUAUUUCAUGAUUUACAGAGUUAUCCAGAUUUACAGGUUGAGUCAUUUACUCUAUAUUUCUUCCAUGUCUGUUAUGUACUUAUUUAUGUGCCUUACAUACUCGGCACAUUAUUCGUACUGACGUCUCUUUUGCCUGGGGACACUGCGUUUCAUGCCCGCAGGUCCCGAUAGACAGGUCAAGAGCCCUUCAAGUAAGCUAUCAGCUCAACGAAAGAUGUUGGUGCGCUCCAUUUUCUUCGGAAUUGCUUGUUGGGUUAGUAUGAUUUAGACGUGUAUUGUUUGGUAUGGCGGGAAUCUGUCCUGACCUUUAUGAAAAUUAUGUAUUCUUAGAGGCUUGUAGACAGAUAUCAUGUACGUAAACGAUUGUAUGGCCUUGUCGGCCUAUGUUCAGUAUACGAGUG